UACGUAGGGGGCGAGCGUUGUCCGGAUUUAUUGGGCGUAAAGAGCGUGUAGGCGGCCUGGUAGGUCCGCUGUGAAAGUCAGAGGCUCAACCUUUGAAUGUCAGUGGAUACUGCCGGGCUAGAGUCCGGAAGAGGCGAGUGGAACUCCUGGUGUAGCGGUGGAAUGCGCAGAUAUCAGGAAGAACACCAGCGGCGAAGGCGGCUCGCUGGGACGGUACUGACGCUGAGGCGCGAAAGCGUGGGGAGCGAACAGG
rnacentral:rRNA from 1 species